UAUAUUAAUAAGGUCUUUAGUUUUUUCAUUUGAAGUUUUACAUUUUUGAUUUAAGGGCCUUUUAUAGCUGACUCUGUGAAUGGGCUUUACUCAUUGUUGAAGGCCAUAGCCACAGCGGCUAAAUUUUUUAUCAUUUAGUGUUGUGGAAAAUUGUCUCAUACCACAUGAUACAUAUUCUUUUAAUGUAAACCCUGUAACUUUCCUCUUUGUUGUGCAAGAAGCCUAAGUUUUUUUUUUUGCUUAUCUUUAGGUUUGAUUGUUUUGUUAUUCAGUUUUUAUAUAUUCAUUCUAUUUCUGGUGUGAACAAAGAGUAUGUUGAUGCAGCUAAUUUUAUGGAUAAAGGCUGAAAAAACUUAUUGCAAGUCCUGUGGGUACAAAUACAUAUACAAUCUAUUUAUAUGAACACAUUGUAAUAAAUACUGAUUUUACUCAUUUGUUUUUAUGUAAUAUAUGUAUUAAUUUAUUAAGACCAGGUAUUAGUUUACAGAACCUUACAAAUUCAAUUAUAUCCAAAUGGAUUUGAAGGCAACUAAAUGUAGUGUGGUUAGCCUGAAAUCAUAUGGACUACUGUGGAUUUGAAAGCCACUAAAUGUAGUGUGGUAAGCCUGAAAUCAUACCGACCACUGUGGAUUUGAAGGC
rnacentral:lncRNA from 1 species